CCUACGGGAGGCAGCAGUGAGGAAUAUUGGUCAAUGGGCGGGAGCCUGAACCAGCCAAGUCGCGUGAAGGAAGAAGGUACUUAGUAUUGUAAACUUCUUUUGUCGGGGAACAAAGGCGGAGACGCGUCUCCGGAUGAGUGUACCCGAAGAAAAAGCAUCGGCUAACUCCGUGCCAGCAGCCGCGGUAAUACGGAGGAUGCGAGCGUUAUCCGGAUUUAUUGGGUUUAAAGGGUGCGCAGGCGGAGGCACAAGUCAGCGGUAAAAUCGCGGGGCUCAACCCCGCUCCGCCGUUGAAACUGUGUCCC
rnacentral:rRNA from 1 species